rnacentral:lncRNA from 1 species
UGAUGAUAGCGGCUGGCCUGGCUGGAGACAUGUCCCCGUGGUGGGUUCUCAUAACUCUCCUGGAAGGCUAGCAGGCCUGCCUCAUCGAGGAGGAAACUGAGAUCCAGCCAUGAGUGAGCUGGAAUAGAGCUGGGAGUAGGAAUGGGGUCUUUCCCCUGCACCAGAAAGGGAGCCUGCAGGGGAAAGGCCGAUGGGGUGCAUAGACUCUCCCCAACCAGGAGUGUUCCAUCCAAGCCCUGCCCAGUUCCCAAGGGGGCAGGAAGCUCGGAGAGGGCAAAUCCUGAACUUGAGGUCACACAGACCAUAGAGUGAGGAUGAGAAGUGGGAGUUUUGGAGGAAGAGAGACUUGGGGUGGACGGCACAAAAUGAGUGGCCUCCCUGGCGAUCUUGGACAAGCCAGUUUCCCUCUGGGCCUCAGUGGGAGA